rnacentral:rRNA from 1 species
UACGUAGGGGGCUAGCGUUGUCCGGAAUCAUUGGGCGUAAAGCGCGUGUAGGCGGUCCGGUAAGUCCGCUGUGAAAGCCAGGGGCUCAACCCUUGGAUGCCGGUGGAUACUGUCGGGCUUGAGUACGGAAGAGGCGAGUGGAAUUCCUGGUGUAGCGGUGAAAUGCGCAGAUAUCGGGAGGAACACCAGUAGCGAAGGCGGCUCGCUGGGCCAUUCCUGACGCUGAGACGCGAAAGCUAGGGGAGCGAACAGG